GAUGAAGAACGUAGCGAAAUGCGAUAAGUAAUGCGAAUUGCAGAAUCCGUGAGUCAUCGAAUCUUUGAACGCACAUUGCGCCCUUUGGUAUUCCUUAGGGCAUGCCUGUUCGAGCGUCAUUUAAACCUUCAAGCUCAGCUUGGUGUUGGGUGACUGUCCGCUUCACCGCGGACUCGCCUCAAAAUUAUUGGCGGCCGGUACAUUGGCUUCGAGCGCAGCAGAAACGCGAACUCGGGCCCGUCGUAUUGGCUCCCAGAAGCUAUCUUCACAAUUUUGACCUCGGAUCAGGUAGGGAUACCCGCUGAACUUAAGCAUAUCAAUAAGCGGAGGA
rnacentral:misc_RNA from 1 species